UACGUAGGGGCAAGCGUUGUCCGGAAUCAUUGGGCGUAAAGCGCGUGUAGGCGGUUCGGUAAGUCGGCUGUGAAAGUCCAGGGCUCAACCCUGGGAUGCCCGGUCGAUACUGCCGGACUAGAGUUCGGAAGAGGCGAGUGGAAUUCCCGGUGUAGCGGUGAAAUGCGCAGAUAUCGGGAGGAACACCAAUGGCGAAGGCAGCUCG
rnacentral:rRNA from 1 species